rnacentral:rRNA from 1 species
GACGAACGCUGGCGGCGUGCCUAAUACAUGCAAGUAGAACGCUGAAGAGAGGAGCUUGCUCUUCUUGGAUGAGUUGCGAACGGGUGAGUAACGCGUAGGUAACCUGCCUGGUAGCGGGGGAUAACUAUUGGAAACGAUAGCUAAUACCGCAUAAAAUGGAUUAUCGCAUGAUUAUCCAUUGAAAGGUGCAAAUGCAUCACUACCAGAUGGACCUGCGUUGUAUUAGCUAGUUGGUGGGGUAACGGCUCACCAAGGCGACGAUACAUAGCCGACCUGAGAGGGUGGUCGGCCACACUGGGACUGAGACACGGCCCAGACUCCUACGGGAAGCAGCAGUAGGGAAUCUUCGGCAAUGGACGGAAGUCUGACCGAGCAACGCCGCGUGAGUGAAGAAGGUUUUCGGAUCGUAAAGCUCUGUUGUAAGGGAAGAACGAGUGUGAGAGUGGAAAGUUCACACUGUGACGGUAUCUUACCAGAAAGGGACGGCUAACUACGUG